UUAAACCUCUUCAGGCCAGUGAGUAAGUGCCACUUCAUCACUGCAGCACUGUUUCUUUCCUCUUUUUCCAUUUUACUUCCAGAACAGCUUUUUACUCUUUAACUGUUGGCACUCAGUGCAUUUGAAACCCUCAGUCUGAUACUGUAAAAAUCACUAGUCCUCAUCCAAGAGGUACUGUUAAAUGUGCUGUUUGAGCCAUCAUGGAUUUGCUUCAAUUGUGUUACUUCUGUCUUAUAAAACUAUUCAUCAUCAGUGAAGUGACCUAGAAAUGCUGGACAAUUUGAUGUAGAAUUCACCUUCCCCAACUUUCUUGAAUUUGUUUUGAGUUAGUUUUCUAGUCUGCUUGUGUAAGUGUAUUUUGCUCAACAGUAGUUGUCAAUGACACUGCUUUUAAACAGGCUUCUUCAAAACAUUCUUGAAGCAUGAAACUAAUAGCUUCUCUUUAGGUAUUCCUUCUAGAACAGAACUCUUAUAUUUUACUAUUUUAUUUUUUUAAGCUUGCCGAUACAAAGAAAGGCACACCUUAGUCCCUUGUCGUGCAGGAGGGAACAUUAAUGCAACAAAGUGCUUGGAAAAUAGAUGUUGUCCUUCCAAAGGCAGGCAUCAACUGGAAUGUUAUGUCCCAUUUAAAGACAAUCUGCAGCUGGCACUUCGACUGUUUCUGGUUGGGGCACUUGGAUGUAUAAUUUUGGGUUGUGUACCAUUAUUUUGCUGUGCCUGGCUUCAGAAGAGAGGACCAUCCAUGUCAUAUUAAUGAGGAUGGAGGAGAAAGACACCAGGAUUAUGCACUAACUAUGAGUAUGCUCUAGGAAAUGAUUUCUUUUAGCAUCACAGUAAUAUAGUGUUGCCAACCCUUGAUGAUGCUAUUGAUUUUUGCAUUAGAAGUUGUUCAUUUCUGUUUCUUUGUACUCACUCCAUAUCUCCUUUAUGAAAAAAAAGAUGGUAAUGCUGAAAGGGAAAAA
rnacentral:lncRNA from 1 species